rnacentral:rRNA from 1 species
GAUGAACGCUGGCGGCGUGCUUAACACAUGCAAGUCGAACGGUGAAGCAGGAGCUUGCUCUUGUGGAUCAGUGGCGAACGGGUGAGUAACACGUGAGCAACCUGCCCCUGACUCUGGGAUAAGCGCUGGAAACGGCGUCUAAUACUGGAUAUGUGAUGUGACCGCAUGGUCUGCAUCUGGAAAGAAUUUCGGUUGGGGAUGGGCUCGCGGCCUAUCAGCUUGUUGGUGAGGUAAUGGCUCACCAAGGCGUCGACGGGUAGCCGGCCUGAGAGGGUGACCGGCCACACUGGGACUGAGACACGGCCCAGACUCCUACGGGAGGCAGCAGUGGGGAAUAUUGCACAAUGGGCGGAAGCCUGAUGCAGCAACGCCGCGUGAGGGAUGACGGCCUUCGGGUUGUAAACCUCUUUUAGCAGGGAAGAAGCGAAAGUGACGGUACCUGCAGAAAAAGCUCCGGCUAACUACGCGCCAGCAGCCGCGGUAA